UUCAGAUUCAAAUCCAGACCAAGUGCAAAGGCAAAGCUGCAGGUCCUGGAAUCACACCAGGCUUCCCUCUGUGAAAUCCUAUGAUGGCAGUGUCAGCGGGUUAAGGAGGCCGUGUGGGAUUCAGGAAGAGCCCCGGCACGGGAGACCUCCUUAAUGCAACUUGAGAGCAUCCUUUCACCAAUGAACAGUUGAAACUGAAAUUUACUGUUUUAAAACAACGUGUAUGUAGUCACUGAUUAUGAUGCCAAGCACUCCGAAGUGCCUUGCAAAUAGUAGCCAUUGCUAUGUGUUCACGAAAACGCUUCCAAAGCUUGCACCCUGCAGUUAUAUGCUUUAUAAAUUGCUAGUGUAAUUCCAAGAGUAUCGCACCCUGUGGCUGACAAUGAGGCCCCAUCACUGACGAAGGACACUGCGCGGGGAGGGGGGUUGGGUAGGAAGCGUGGAAAGGACUCAAAGGCCGUGGGCACCGUGCUACCGUUUUUCCUGUUUUCCUACAAAGUUAGAGAGGAGGCUGGCGGGGUUAAUUUAUGACUACUUACCUCUCUCAUGUCACAGGUUACUGCAUCUCUAUAGAUUGUGGCUUCUGCUUGGUUUUGGGCGCCAAGAGGGAGCCUGCGAGGUGAGCGCGGUGGGACCCGGUGCUAGUUUCUGCCAUCUCGGGGUGGGGGGAGUAGCUCCGGAAGUAGCCGCGGUGACAGGCCCGCCGGCCAGGUGCUCGUCCUACCGCCAUGGGCACAGGCAGAUUCAGGCUUCCGGCCCUUCCGGAUAAGGGGCGAGGAUACAUUAUUUGUUGAAACUAAGGGAACAGCAAUAAAAGUUGCAAUGACAAAGAAAUGAAGAUUUAUGAUAAUUUAAAAAAAACCAACCUUGAAGUGCCUCCCCAACCUUCUCAUUUUGGGGGAGGCAAACUGGCCGCGAGCGCGGGGUCCGCUCGCCGGGGCCCGCGGUCGGGUAGACAGUCCGGCGGCCGCGCCAGCUGGGCCCGCGCGGGGGGCUGCGCGGACCCGAGGACGCAGGCGGGCUCCCACUGCCCGAGGGCUGGCCGCACGCGGGCGGGGCAACCACCAGAGCGUCGGCAGGCGCCGCCCACCCGCGGGGGAAUCCCAGGUUGGGGCGCGGGACGCGCGAAGACGCCGCGCCCCGCCCCCCGCCCCGCCCCCGCCGCCGCCCGCUCCCGGAGCCGCCGCCGCGCCGCGCUGCCAUUGGUGCCAGGCGGUGACGCGGGCGAGCGGGCCGCACGGCGGGGCGCGGGGGGCGGGCGCGGGGAGCGGGGCGCGGCUGAUGAAACCGGCUCCCGAUCCCUCCCGCUCUCAACGCUCCAUUCACUCCGCGGGGGCAGGUGUGAGCGGCAGGUCAGCUGCCGGCGGGGCGCGCGGCCACCCGGCGUCCGUUACCCGAGUCCCCCGCUCCUGCUCCCCGCGCGCCGCGCCUCCGCCCGAGCGUCCGUCAGUCCCGCCGAGCCUCGGUCGAUCGUCCGUCAGUCCAGACGCGGUCUUGCCUGCAUCCCGCCGCCCGCCGGCCCGGAAGAAAAGCUUGAAAGACGAGAUUGCUGACCUCGGGGAGCUUGCAUUUUAGGACACACAUUAAUUGUAUUGGGUUGAGGCUUCCAUUCUUUGAUGGGCUUAAACACAUGUUUACUGACUCUUCUAGUCUGUCGUUUCUUGUCUACUAAGGUCAGUAAAAAUAUGUAAUUACGUUGGCGGGCCCAGCAUUAUGUCUUAUUAAAUUAAUC
ensembl:lncRNA